AGCGUAGGCGGAUAGUUUAGUCAGAGGUGAAAGCCCAGGGCUCAACCUUGGAAUUGCCUUUGAUACUGGCUAUCUCGAGUACGGAAGAGGUAUGUGGAACUCCGAGUGUAGAGGUGAAAUUCGUAGAUAUUCGGAAGAACACCAGUGGCGAAGGCGACAUACUGGUCCGUUACUGACGCUGAGGCUCGAAAGCGUGGGGAGCAAACA
rnacentral:rRNA from 1 species